GCAUAUCAAUAAGCGGAGGAAAAGAAACCAACAGGGAUUGCCUUAGUAACGGCGAGUGAAGCGGCAACAGCUCAAAUUUGAAAUCUGGCCCUUGGGUCCGAAUUGUAAUUUGUAGAGGAUGAUUUUGGUGCGGUAUCUUCCGAGUUCCUUGGAACAGGACGCCUUAGAGGGUGAGAGCCCCGUACGGUUGAAUGCCUAGCCUCUGUAAAUCUCCUUCGACGAGUCGAGUAGUUUGGGAAUGCUGCUCUAAAUGGGAGGUAAAUUUCUUCUAAAGCUAAAUAUUGGCCAGAGACCGAUAGCGCACAAGUAGAGUGAUCGAAAGAUGAAAAGCACUUUGAAAAGAGGGUUAAAUAGCACGUGAAAUUGUUGAAAGGGAAGGAUUUGUGACCAGACUUUUUCUGGGCGGAUCAUCCGGGGUUCUCUCCGGUGCACUUCGCCCAGUAAAGGCCAGCAUCGGUUUUCGGCGUGGGAUAAAAGCAGUAGGAAUGUGGCUCUCUACGGGGAGUGUUAUAGCCUAUUGUAUAAUACCGCGCUGGGGACCGAGGUUCGCGCUUCUGCAAGGAUGCUGGCGUAAUGGUUAUCAAUCACCCGUCUUGAAACACGGACCAAGGAGUCGAACAUUUGUGCGAGUGUUUGGGUGUUAAACCCUCACGCGUAAUGAAAGUGAACGGAGGUGAGAGCCCUUACGGGUGCAUCAUCGACCGAUCCUGAAGUUUUCGGAUGGAUUUGAGUAAGAGCAUAACUGUUCGGACCCGAAAGAUGGUGAACUAUGCGUGGAUAGGGUGAAGCCAGAGGAAACUCUGGUGGAGGCUCGCAGCGGUUCUGACGUGCAAAUCGAUCGUCAAAUCUGCGCAUGGGGGCGAAAGACUAAUCGAACCAUCUAGUAGCUGGUUACCGCCGA
rnacentral:rRNA from 1 species